UACGUAGGGGCUAGCGUUGUUCGGAGUUACUGGGCGUAAAGGGUGUGUAGGCGGUUGUUUAAGUUUGGUGUGAAAUCUCCCGGCUCAACCGGGAGGGUGCGCCGAAUACUGAAUAACUAGAGUGCGGGAGAGGAAAGUGGAAUUCCUGGUGUAGCGGUGAAAUGCGUAGAUAUCAGGAGGAACACCGGUGGUGUAGACGGCUUUCUGGACCGUAACUGACGCUGAGACACGAAAGCGUGGGUAGCAAACAGG
rnacentral:rRNA from 1 species